rnacentral:rRNA from 1 species
CCCUAGUAACGGCGAGUGAAGCGGCAACAGCUCAAAUUUGAAAGCUAGCCUUCGGGUUCGCAUUGUAAUUUGUAGAGGAUGAUUUGGGGAAGCCGCCUGUCUAAGUUCCUUGGAACAGGACGUCAUAGAGGGUGAGAAUCCCGUAUGUGACAGGAAAUGGCACCCUAUGUAAAUCUCCUUCGACGAGUCGAGUUGUUUGGGAAUGCAGCUCUAAAUGGGAGGUAAAUUUCUUCUAAAGCUAAAUAUUGGCGAGAGACCGAUAGCGCACAAGUAGAGUGAUCGAAAGAUGAAAAGCACUUUGGAAAGAGAGUUAAAAAGCACGUGAAAUUGUUGAAAGGGAAGCGCUUGCAAUCAGACUUGUUUAAACUGUUCGGCCGGUCUUCUGACCGGUUUACUCAGUUUGGACAGGCCAGCAUCAGUUUCGGCGGCCGGAUAAAGGCUCUGGGAAUGUGGCCUCCACUUCGGUGGAGGUGUUAUAGCCCAGGGUGUAAUACGGCCAGCCGGGACUGAGGUCCGCGCUUCGGCUAGGAUGCUGGCG